rnacentral:lncRNA from 1 species
GUGGUUCGUUACUGGAUCUGCUGACAGAACUAUAAAGAUUUGGGACUUGGCCAGUGGCAAAUUAAAGCUGUCAUUGACUGGCCACAUCAGCACAGUACGCGGUGUGAUUGUGAGCACGAGGAGCCCUUACUUGUUCUCUUGUGGAGAAGACAAACAAGUGAAGUGUUGGGAUCUUGAAUAUAACAAGGUUAUACGGCACUAUCAUGGCCAUCUAAGUGCAGUGUAUGGUCUGGAUUUGCAUCCAACAAUCGAUGUCCUGGUCACUUGUAGUCGAGAUUCUACUGCUCGGAUCUGGGAUGUGAGAACUAAAGCCAGUGUGCACACUUUGUCUGGACACACAAAUGCAGUUGCUACCGUGAGAUGCCAAGCUGCAGAGCCACAAAUUAUUACUGGUACGAUCUGCUUCUCCACCCACUGCCAUACCAGAAGCAUCGCGCGCCAUUCUGCAGCCGCCGAAGUCACGAUACCACAAUACGAUUAUGGGAUCUGGUGGCUGGAAAGACACGAGUCACAUUGACGAAUCAUAAGAAGUCAGUCAGGGCUGUGGUCUUACAUCCGCUACAUUACACAUUUGCAUCUGGUUCUCCAGAUAACAUAAAGCAGUGGAAAU